rnacentral:rRNA from 1 species
AAUGAACGUUGGCGGCGUGGAUUAGGCAUGCAAGUCGAGCGUGAAGCCCCGCAAGGGGUGGAAAGCGGCGUAAGGGAGAGGAACACGUGGUUUAUCUGCCCUCAGGACCGGGAUAGCUGCGGGAAACUGCAGGUAAUACCGGAUAAUGUCUCCGGACCAAUUGGUGCGAUUCCGCCUGAGGAUGAGACCGCGUCCUAUUAGCUAGUUGGUGGGGUAAUGGCCUACCAAGGCAAUGAUGGGUACCGGGUGUGAGAGCACGACCCGGCUCACUGGGACUGAGACACUGCCCAGACACCUACGGGUGACUGCAGUCGAGGAUCUUCGGCAAUGGGCGCAAGCCUGACCGAGCGACGCCGCGUGUGGGAUGAAGGCCUUCGGGUUGUAAACCACUGUCAGAGGGGAGGAAGUGCCGGGAAGUAAUUCAUAAUCAACCCGGUUUGACCUAUCCUCAAAGGAAGUACGGGCUAAGUCCGUGCCAGCCGCCGCCGUAAAAC